CGGAAUAAAUAUACAUAAAAUAUAUGGAAAUGAUGGAGCAUGAAAUAUUGAUAUAAUGAAAUGAAUGAUAUAUGCUUAUGAAGAAACGGUAAGAGCAUGAUAUGUUUCAUGACAUGUACAUAUAUGAUUAUCUUUGAUAUGUUGAUACAAGGAAAUUAUGUAAGUUGAGACUAUUAUUAAACUCAAGUGCGAUAUGUCGAGAAAAUAGAUAUAUCAAUGUUGAAUUUAUAUGAGAUAUGUGCAAGUAUACUAACAAUGUUGUUGUUUGAUGCUUAUACAAGUG
rnacentral:lncRNA from 1 species